rnacentral:lncRNA from 1 species
CAAGAAACCAGCCUGGGCAUCUGGGAACUCAAGAGGAUGCCAAAAUCGAACUUUGGACUUGAAAAUAAAAAUAUCUUAGGCAGAGAAACCCCAUGUACAAGGGCUUGAGGGUGAGAUGUUUGAGUUUUUGAAAGUAGUUCCGUGUGACAGAGGCCAGGAAAUGGGGCAUGGGGGAGGAGAUAGGAUUCAUUGCUGGGGAUUUGUAAGCCACACAGUGGACUUGGGACCUUAUCUUGACACCACCGGAAGUCAUUGAGGACCUUAAGCCAGGGAGUGCUAUGAUUAGAUUUUUGGCUUCACCAUCAGCAGGAGCAGAGGCAGAAAGGGGCCAGUUGGAUCUGGUGGAGGGUGAGGCUGUUUCCUAGCUGUGCCAUGGAAGUGGCUAGAAGUAUUGGCAUUUGGGGGUGAAGAGCAGUAGGGAGGUUGGGGGGUCAUCAUCCUGGCAGAAUUAGUAGACUCAAAGAUUAAUGCAAGAUUAACCUCCAGGAUAUAUAAAGAACUCAGAAAACUUAACACCAAAAAAACCCAAUAACCCACUGAAUAAAUGGGCCAAGGAACCAAACAGUCACCUCACAGAAGGAGAAAUACAAUCGAUCAACAAAUGUAUGAAAAAAAUGUUUAACAUCUAUAGCAAUGAGAGAAAUGCAAAUCAAAACUAUACGGAGAUUCCAGCUCUCUGGAGUCAGAAUGGUAAUCAUCAAGAAUACAAGCAAAAAUAAAUGUUGGUGAGGAUGUGGGGAAAAGGCACACUCACACACUGUUGGUGGGACUGCAAAUUGUUGCAACCACUCUGGAAAGCAGUAUGGAGAUUCCUCAGAAAACUAGGAAUGGAACCACCAUUUGACCCAGCUGUCCCACUUCUCUGUUUAUACCCAAAGAACUUAAAGCCAGCUUACUACAGGAACCAGGUGCAAUGGCACAUGUCUAUAAUCUGCAGCCACAUACUACAGUGAUGCAGCCACAUCAAUGUUUAUAGAAGCUCAAUUCACAAUAGUUAAGUUACUGAACCAACCUAGGUGCCCUUCAACAGAUGACUAGAUAAAGAAAAUGUGGUGUAUAUACACAAUGGAAUAUUACUCAUCCUUAAAGAAGAAUGAAAUUAUGACAUCUGCAUGUUAAUGGACGGAACUGGAGACUAUCAUGCUAAGUGAAAUAAGCCAAUCCCAAAAAACCAAAGGCCAAAUGUUGUCUCUGAUAUGUGACUGCAAAUACACAAUAAGGGAGGGUGGCUAGGGAAGAAUAGAGGUACUUGGGUUUAGGCAGAGGAGAAUGAAGACAGGGAGGGAUGAUAUAGGGGUAGGAAGGAUAGUAGAAUGAAUCGGACAUUAUUACCCUAUUGUACACAUGACUGGAGUGAUUCUAUAUCAUAUAAAACCAGAAGAAUGAGAAGUUAUACUCCAUCUAUGUAGGAUGUGUCAAAAUGUAUUCUACGGUCACGUAUAACUAGAACAAAUUUAAAAAAAUUUUUUUAAAGAUAAAUGCAAGAAAGCGACCAAGUAAGAGGGAAAAGGCAAGAAUGAUUUCACAGAAGGGUGAAGGUGAUGUCAGAUGGAGACAUGGGAAAUUGGGAGCUAGAACACGCAGUGCUUCUCAUACCAUGUGACCCAUUUGACUAGAUAUUGACAUUGGCAUUGACGAGACUAGGCAUUGGUUUACACUGUCUAAAAGCCUUUUCAGUUGAAACUGAUGUUUUCCCAACAAACUCUGGGCUCACAAACUCUAGAAAUGACACGAUCCUCUUCUUGCUUCCAAAUCCCUGGACUAAAUCAUUGGACGCUGAGUAUUGCAAGCCACCACAUGGGAAGUCUUGAAAUGAAGGUUUCCAAAACCCAUGACCAACCCUUAUAAACCUGUUCUUCUACAUUUUUUAAACCCCUGGAUUAGCUAUGUGCACCACCGACCUCCAGAUUAUAAAAUAAGAUCAGAGGUCCCCUGAGAUUACAGCGGGCCCUUGGCAUUGUAGGAUUCAAUCAGUCAUAGAUUUUAAACCUGCAAUGAAGGGAGGGGAGAGGAUGGGAAUGGGAAAGACAGUGGAAUGGAUGGACAUCACUUUCCCAUGUUCAUAUAUGAACACACGACCAGGGAAACUCCAC